rnacentral:lncRNA from 1 species
AUGUGCCGCCAGGGCUCUGCCACCCAGGGAGCAGGGAUGCCUGGCAGGGAAGCUGCGUCUCCUCCUCUGAAACCAGGCACGGGCCGGGCGGCCAAGCUCAUGGGAAAGCCAGGUCCCAAGGCCGUCCGUCCACUGUUCUGUGCUGCUGCCUGGUGCCUGUGGACCUGGAGCUGCUUCCCGGGAGAAGGAUGGGCCCUCUGCUGUGUGCAUCCCUGCAUCCUCGUUGCCAGCAAAGAUGGGCUUGAGGGUGAGGAUCUGAAGGAGAGAGAGGAGGACCCCAUGCUGGAUAGGGGUGCUGGCCUGGCCCGCAGAAGUAUCGCUGCAGCUAAUGCGGAGGGAAGAGCCGGGCCUGGGGUUGGCAGAGCUCUGUGGCCUGGAGAACAGGUGGCCACUCCUGACUCGUCCACCCACAGUGCCGGGAAACUAGAGAGGCUGGGGCAAGCAGAAAACAGCAGCAGGACACCUCCAGCUCACGAGAGUGAGGCACUCACUGUGCCGGGCACACGUCUGUCUCCAGGUGUAAACAAACUGAGUCUUGCAGCAGUGCUGCCCUUCCCUCCCUUCCCCACUGGUAUGGUGGAUUGAAUCCAGGGCCUUCACACCAAGCUACGUCUCUAACCCUAACCCUUAAAUAUUUUUAUUUUAAGAUAGGGUCUCACUAAGUCUCUGAAUUGCCCAUGCUGGGUUUGGUUCUCCUGCCUCAGCCUUCCAGAGGGCUGGGAUCACAGCGUGAGAGGGUUGCUGUUGCCUGGUGCUCAAGUCCUGGGAGCCACUGGCUGAGGGAGGGGGUCUGAGGGUGCCUUGAUGCCGCAGAGGGGCCCUGGAGGGUCAGGGUGACCCAGGCUUGGAGGGAGCCGCUGGGGCUUCUGGGAGGGGUACGGAUUCCGGAGGAGGUGGGGUCACCGCCCAGCUUCCCCACCCCAAGCGGCCGGGCCGCAGGACUCUGCAGCCAAGGCACACUGCCCACCAGUCCGGGCUGCGCUGCGAGCCCUGAACUGCCGGCUCCGCCCU